rnacentral:rRNA from 1 species
AAGACCUUGCGCUUUUGGAGCGGCCGAUGCCUGAUUAGCUUGUUGGUAAGGUAAAAGCUUACCAAGGCUUCGAUCAGUAGCUGGUCUGAGAGGACGACCAGCCACACUGGGACUGAGACACGGCCCAGACUCCUACGGGAGGCAGCAGUGGGGAAUUUUGGACAAUGGGGGCAACCCUGAUCCAGCCAUGCCGCGUGAGUGAAGAAGGCCUUUGGGUUGUAAAGCUCUUUCAGCCGGAACGAAACGGUUACGGAUAACACCCGUGACUACUGACGGUACCGGAAGAAGAAGCACCGGCUAACUACGUGCCAGCAGCCGCGGUAAUACGUAGGGUGCGAGCGUUAAUCGGAAUUACUGGGCGUAAAGCGUGCGCAGGUGGUUUUGUAAGUCAGAUGUGAAAUCCCCGGGCUUAACCUGGGAACU